rnacentral:lncRNA from 1 species
CAUGAAGGUCUUGCCGACACAGCAAUCAACAUGGUCCACUGUAGCCACUUAGCCCACCAUAGCCAACUGGGACAAUUCUCUGCAAAAUCUAACAUGGCUCAUUGUAGUGAUGGGUGAUCUACUAUAGCCAACUGAGGUAAUUUUUCAAGAAAUCUAACAUGGCCCAGUAUAGCCAAUCGGGGCAAUUUCUAAGAAAAUCUAUAACCAUAGGUGGCCCACUGUAGCCAUCCACAGCAAUCCUUCAAAAAAUCUAACAUAGCCCACUAUAGCCACAAGUGGCCCAUUAUAGCCACAUGGCUUAUUGUAGUCAAUCGGGACAAUCUCCCAACAAAUCCAAUGUGGCCACUAUAGCCACGAAUGGCCCACUAUAGCCAAUCGUGGCAAUCCCUUCGAAAAUCUAACAUGGCCCACUAUAGCCACAUGGCCCAUUAUAGCCAAUCGGAGCAAUCCUCUGAAAUUUCAAUGUUGCCUACUGUAGCCAUGGAUGACCCAUUAUAGCCACAUGGCCCACUAAGGCCAACACAGAUUAAUCCCCUAGAGAUCUUAUAUUGCCUACAGAAACCAAUGACGAUGAUAUAAGAAGGGUUAACUCACUUAAAGACCCUACUUGAAGAAAAAGAGAAGACAUGAAAAAACACCUCAAAGAAAAAUUCAAGAGUACUUCAUUCAAAAAGUUUGUGUACACUACGGAGAAGCUCAUUACAAGUCAGUCGAGCGAGGCUCGUGGAGACAAAGAAAGAAGACAUAUAAAACUCGGGCCCAACUAGUGCCCUUAAAGCACAAACUGAGCCCCAGCCAAUGCGACCCCAGAAAAAGAGUGCAGGACUCUUCAUUUUGCGAUGCUCACCAACCCUCUCUAAAGGAUAUCAGUGAUAGCAGGGGAGCUUCCUUUUUAGAAACUCAUUCGCCUUUACAAUGUACCUCUGAGGAAGGCUACACUAGGCAAAAGAAGAAACAGACUCUCUAGAAAGGCCCAAGAUCUUUCUGUGGAGGAUAAUGUAUUAGGAGUCCCCAGGCAGCCGUCAUCGUAGUCGGAGCUGCGGGAUUUUUCAAUAUGUCCCAUGCCAAAGUAGGAUGCUCGAUGAAGCAUCCUCCGGAAGCACUCUGCAAUUGAUCGAAGGCAUAAAGGAGAUCUCCCAAAUCGGAGGAGAGCACUAGUGACUCUGGCACUAGACCAGGUGACACCACCUCAACAUUGUAGGAGGCAACUGAGGAGAUGCCAAUCCCAAGCGACAGAAUCUCUACUUAUAGAGGGAGCAGACCUAGACAAAUUCGAACGCCCCAUUAAUCGCAUGACAAGUAUCGCCCCUCGAAAGGUCUCAAAGAUCGUGCUCCCUAAGGAGUAGGUGCAGGCAUUAAAUGUGAGGCCCGAUUAGGUCUCCAGAUUAUAUGGUCCUCUAUCGCACAACCUCGAGAUGAAUCUUCCUUAAUUUGCUGAAAGUGAUACGACACCAAUCAAUAUUCCGCACUCGACGCGCACACAAGCCCAUAAUUUUUAAAAGUUUAUUCUUGACAUACUGUAGAAGCAAGUGCUUCAGACAAGGUCAAUGGAGAUCUUGACUUAAAUGUGGAAACCGAUGCUGCUAACCAAUCCGAGCCAUUUGAAUCCUUGACUAAGGCAAAAAGCUGACCACACCAACAUUACAAAGAAGUAAAAGACAUCAUGUGAGAGAUAAAUGUAAUGAAAAUAUAUCUUUUAUUAACUAAAAAUCUAUUUAUAGAUGUUCACCAAAGGAAAGGUGCCAAAAAAUAAAUACAAAAGGAUGGACAACUAGUCUUCAUCUAAGGAAAAUGCUCCAACCUCCUCAUC